rnacentral:tRNA from 1 species
GGGCCGUUAGCUCAAUCAGGUAGAGCAGCAGACUCUUAAUCUGUUGGUUAUAGGUUCGAUUCCUAUACGGCCCAACA